rnacentral:rRNA from 1 species
UGGGGAAUAUUGCACAAUGGGCGCAAGCCUGAUGCAGCCAUGCCGCGUGUAUGAAGAAGGCCUUCGGGUUGUAAAGUACUUUCAGUCGGGAGGAAGGUGGUAAGGUUAAUAACCUUAUCAAUUGACGUUACCGACAGAAGAAGCACCGGCUAACUCCGUGCCAGCAGCCGCGGUAAUACGGAGGGUGCAAGCGUUAAUCGGAAUUACUGGGCGUAAAGCGAACGCAGGCGGUUGAUUGAGUCAGAUGUUAAAUCCCCGGGCUUAACCCGGGAAUUGCAUCUGAUACUUGUCAGCUAGAGUCUUGUAGAGGGGGGUAGAAUUCCAGGUGUAGCGGUGAAAUGCGUAGAGAUGUGGAAGAAUACCGGUGGCGAAGGCGGCCCCCUGGACAAAGACUGACGCUCAGGUGCGAAAGCGUGGGGAGCAAACAGG